AAGGGACAGCAGUAGCCACGGUAAUACGGAGGGGGCUAGCGUUGUUCGGAAUUACUGGGCGUAAAGCGCACGUAGGCGGCUUGGUAAGUUAGAGGUGAAAGCCUGGAGCUCAACUCCAGAAUUGCCUUUAAGACUGCCGAGCUAGCAGGUGAGAGAGGUAAGUGGAAUUCCGAGUGUAGAGGUGAAAUUCGUAGAUAUUCGGAAGAACACCAGUGGCGAAGGCGGCUUACUGGCUCAUACUGGACGCUGAGGUGCGAAAGCGUGGGGAGCAAACAGGAUUAGAUACCCCAGUAGUCCCUGUCUCUUAUAA
rnacentral:rRNA from 1 species